GACCAUUUUUCCCAUGAGAAGGAAGCCAACGACCUAGAGGCAAACAGGUGAGAGAUAUAGAGAGAGACUGAGCCCACUGGCAUGGUUAUAGCCCCAGAAUUGAGCUGUGCCUGAAGGUAACUUUAAUGGUGGACUUUUCAGUUACAAUACAGUCCCUUUUUGGUUUAAUGCCAGUUCGAUGUGGGAUUAAGUGAUUUGUAACCCAAAGUGUUCUAAUGAAUGUCAUCAUGCCUCCUUCUCCCUCCUGUUUGUGUACCUCGGUCAUUCCAGGAAGCCGCCAGUAGGAAAACUUCACCAAGGAAAAGAGAAUUUUUUUCAGCCUUCCUGCAUUGUCUCAAAAGAGCCUGUUUUAAAGUCCCAGUGGAGAUGCGUGUAAUUGGCCAAUGAGAGCCAGCAGCCGGGUUGGGGAUGCGUGCCAAUAAAUAACUCAAGCACAGUAACCUGAAUUUUAUGGAUGAAGAAAUGGAGACCCAUUUCCUUAUGGAUGAAGAAAUGAAGAGAAGUUAAGCAACUUUCCAGAGGCCCCCCGGCGGUGAAUGCCGCUCUGCUGCAGGAUGCCAGCACAAGGGGAUGGGCCUGUCUUUGCCUUUGGGGAGAAUCGUUUCUGCGAAUUAUUUGGAGAAAGAUCCGAGUUUGCAGAGAAGCUGGCAGCUCAUCUGAGCAGAAAAGUAGAAGUCAAAGUGAUUUCUUGGAGGAGACUCAUGGGGGGCCUCCCGGGUCACCAAACAGCCAUCUCUCUCACCUGGAAGAAAUAGGAAUUGAUUUGAAGCUUGUCCCAUCUGAAAAGGUCUGUCGGGAGCCAGAACCAGCGCGUGUUGUCAAGGACGCUUUUGGUCUUCGGUCCGGAGAAGAAGUGAUUCAUGAUGAUUUGCUUUUCCAGGGAGUCAGGGAGACCCAGUGGAGAUGCAGGCUCGGGUCCCAGGGGCCUGCUGGGUUAGAUUGUUUCCCUGAGUGGGAGGAAGGGAGGAAAAUCAAGGAGCCAGUAGGAGCUGAUGAAUGAG
rnacentral:lncRNA from 1 species